GCCGGGUGCGGUGGCAUGUGCCUGUAAUCCAAGUCACUGGGAGGCUGAGGUUGGUGGAUCAAGUGAGCUGAGGAGCUCUGGGCUGCAGCACACUAUGUGGAACGGGUGUCCACGCUAAGUUCGGUAUCGAUAUGGUGUUCCUGGGGGAGCCCGGGACCACCAGGUUGUCUAAGGAGGGGUGAACCGGCCCAGGUCGGAAACGAAGCAGGUCAAAUCCCCCGUGCUGUCCAGUAGUGGGAUAAUACCUGUGAGUAGAUGCUGCAGUGCAGCCUUGGCGAAACAUCGAGACAUAAUCUUUC
rnacentral:SRP_RNA from 1 species